CUGUAGCCCUGCAAAAAUGAGCAGAGAACCCAGCCAAGUUGUGACUGGAGACUCCUGACUUGUGGACAAUAAGAGAGGAAAUGUCUUUUGAAAGCUCCACUGACUCCAAGCAGAUUUCUUCCAACAAUUUCUUGCUUCUUGUGAUGUUAGAAGAGCAAUUAUGUUCCUGUGAGCAGCUGAUGGAGGACAUUAUCAACAUGGAAGUACUUCUUUGUGAGAGAACUGUCAGCU